AGAGUUUGAUCCUAGCUCAGGGCGAAUGCUAGCGGUGCGCCUAACACAUGCAAGUCGAGCGGGAAAUUCUUCUAGCUUGCUAGAAGAAUGGAUAGCGGCGAACGGGUGAGUAACGUGUUGGUAUCUGCCCCCAGGUCAGGGAUAGCCAUCUGAAAAGAUGAUUAAUACCGGAUAGUCUCUUCGGAGUAAAGAUUUAUCGCCUGGGGAGGAACCUACAUUCUAUCAGCUUGUUGGUAAGGUAACGGCUUACCAAGGCUAUGACGGAUAACUGGUCUGAGAGGAUGAUCAGUCACAAUGGAACUGAGACACGGUCCAUACUCCUACGGGAGGCAGCAGUGAGGAAUCUUCCACAAUGGGCGAAAGCCUGAUGGAGCGACACCGCGUGAAGGAUGAAGGUCUAACGAUUGUAAACUUCUUUUCUGGAGGAGCAUAAUGAGAGUACUUCAGGAAUAAGGGACGGCUAAUCACGUGCCAGCAGCCGCGGUAAUACGUGAGUCCCAAGCAUUGCCCGGAAUUACUGGGUGUAAAGGGUUCGUAGGUGGUUUGGAAAGUUGGUUAUGAAAGACCGGAGCUCAACUCCGUGUUUGUAUCCAAAACUAUCAAGCUAGAAUCAGGGAGAGGUAAGCGGAAUUCUGAGUGUAGGGGUGCAAUCCGUAGAUACUCAGAGGAACACCAAAAGCGAAGGCAGCUUACUGGGACUGUAUUGACACUCAUGAACGAAAGCGUGGGGAGCGAAAAGGAUUAGAUACCCUUGUAGUCCACGCCCUAAACGAUGAUAACUAAGUGUUGCACAUUGGUGCAGUGCUGUAGCUAACGCGUUGAGUUAUCCACCUGAGGAGUACGGUCGCAAGAUUAAAACUCAAAGGAAUAGACGGGGACCCACACAAGCAGUGGAUCACGUGGUUUAAUUCGACAAUAAACGGGGAACCUUACCCAGACUUGACAUCUAUCGAAUCUUUUAGAGAUAAAAGAGUGCCUUUAUUGGAGCGAUAAGACAGGUGCUGCAUGGUUGUCGUCAGUUCGUGCCUUGAGGUGUUCGGUUAAGUCCGUUAACGAGCGCAACCCAUUUCCUUAGUUACUAUGUCUAAGGAGACUGCCUUGGUUAACAAGGAGGAAGGUGUGGAUGACGUCAAAUCAGCAUGGCUUUUACGUCUGGGGCUACACACAUGAUACAAUGGUCUAUACAAAGAGCAGCAAAACUGCAAAGUUGAGCGAAUCUCAUAAAGUAGAUCUAAGUCCGGAUUGAGGUCUGCAACUCGACCUCAUGAAGUUGGAAUUGCUAGUAAUCGUGAAUCAGAUAUGUCACGGUGAAUGUGUUCCUGGGUCUUGUACUCACCGCCCGUCAUGGCAUGGAAGGAAGUAAUAUUGGAAGCUCCUCAAGCAAUAUGAGGGUCCAUAGUAGGACUUCUGACUGGGCUAAAGUCGUAACAAGGUA
rnacentral:rRNA from 1 species